UACGAAGGGGGCUAGCGUUGCUCGGAAUCACUGGGCGUAAAGCGCACGUAGGCGGAUUGCUAAGUCAGGGGUGAAAUCCUGGGGCUCAACUCCAGAACUGCCUUUGAUACUGGCGACCUUGAGUCCGGGAGAGGUGAGUGGAACUGCGAGUGUAGAGGUGAAAUUCGUAGAUAUUCGCAAGAACACCAGUGGCGAAGGCGGCUCACUGGACCACAACUGACGCUGAGGCGCGAAAGCUAGGGGAGCAAACAGG
rnacentral:rRNA from 1 species